rnacentral:tRNA from 1 species
AAAAAAUUAGUUAAAUUAAAUAACAUUAGAUUGUCAAUCUAAAAUUAAUAUAAAUUAAAUAUUA